rnacentral:rRNA from 1 species
CUACGGGACGCAGCAGUGAGGAAUAUUGGUCAAUGGGCGCAAGCCUGAUGCAGCCAUGCCGCGUGUAUGAAGAAGGCCUUCGGGUUGUAAAGUACUUUCAGCGGGGAGGAAGGGAGUAAAGUUAAUACCUUUGCUCAUUGACGUUACCCGCAGAAGAAGCACCGGCUAACUCCGUGCCAGCAGCCGCGGUAAUACGGAGGGUGCAAGCGUUAAUCGGAAUUACUGGGCGUAAAGCGCACGCAGGCGGUUUGUUAAGUCAGAUGUGAAAUCCCCGGGCUCAACCUGGGAACUGCAUCUGAUACUGGCAAGCUUGAGUCUCGUAGAGGGGGGUAGAAUUCCAGGUGUAGCGGUGAAAUGCGUAGAGAUCUGGAGGAAUACCGGUGGCGAAGGCGGCCCCCUGGACGAAGACUGACGCUCAGGUGCGAAAGCGUGGGGAGCAAACAGGAUUAGAUACCCCCGUAGUC